AGCGGCGGACGGGUGAGUAACGCGUGGGUAACCUGCCUCAUACACGUGGAUAACAUACCGAAAGGUAUGCUAAUACAAGAUAAUAUAAGAGAUUCGCAUGGGUCUCUUAUCAAAGCUCCGGCGGUAUGAGAUGGACCCGCGUCUGAUUAGCUAGUUGGUAAGGUAACGGCUUACCAAGGCGACGAUCUGUAGCCGACCUGAGAGGGUGAUCGGCCACAUUGGAACUGAGACACGGUCCAAACUCCUACGGGAGGCAGCAGUGGGGAAUAUUGCACAAUGGGCGAAAGUCUGAUGCAGCAACGCCGCGUGAGCGAUGAAGGCCUUCGGGUCGUAAAGCUCUGUCCUCAAGGAAGAUAAUGACGGUACUUGAGGAGGAAGCCCCGGCUAACUACGUGCCAGCAGCCGCGGUAAUACGUAGGGGGCUAGCGUUAUCCGGAUUUACUGGGCGUAAAGGGUGCGUAGGUGGUUUCUUAAGUCAGGAGUGAAAGGCUACGGCUCAACCGUAGUAAGCUCUUGAAACUGGGAAACUUGAGUGCAGGAGAGGAAAGUGGAAUUCCUAGUGUAGCGGUGAAAUGCGUAGAUAUUAGGAGGAACACCAGUAGCGAAGGCGGCUUUCUGGACUGUAACUGACACUGAGGCACGAAAGCGUGGGGAGCAAACAGGAUUAGAUACCCUGGUAGUCCACGCCGUAAACGAUGAGUACUAGGUGU
rnacentral:rRNA from 1 species